rnacentral:rRNA from 1 species
UACGUUGGGUGCAAGCGUUGUUCGGAAUUAUUGGGCGUAAAGCGCGUGUAGGUGGCUAGUUAAGUCGGGUGUGAAAUCCCUGGGCUCAACCGAGGAAGUGCACUCGAUACUGGCUGGCUAGAAGAUAGUAGAGGAUGGUGGAAUUCCAAGUGUAGAGGUGAAAUUCGUAGAUAUUUGGAGGAAUACCGGCGGCGAAGGCGGCCAUCUGGGCUAUUCUUGACACUGAGACGCGAAAGCGUGGGGAGCAAACAGG